GACGAACGCUGGCGGCGUGCUUAACACAUGCAAGUCGAACGGUAAGGCUCCAGCUUGCUGGGGUACACGAGUGGCGAACGGGUGAGUAACACGUGGGUGACCUGCCCUGCACUUCGGGAUAAGCCUGGGAAACUGGGUCUAAUACCGGAUAGGACCAUGGUGUGGAUACUGUGGUGGAAAGUUUUUUCGGUGUGGGAUGGGCCCGCGGCCUAUCAGCUUGUUGGUGGGGUAAUGGCCUACCAAGGCGGCGACGGGUAGCCGGCCUGAGAGGGUGGACGGCUACAUUGGGACUGAGACACGGCCCAGACUCCUACGGGAGGCAGCAGUGGGGAAUAUUGCACAAUGGGCGGAAGCCUGAUGCAGCGACGCCGCGUGGGGGAUGACGGCCUUCGGGUUGUAAACUCCUUUCACCAUCGACGAAGGGUUUCUGACGGUAGAUGGAGAAGAAGCACCGGCUAACUACGUG
rnacentral:rRNA from 1 species